rnacentral:lncRNA from 1 species
GAAAACAGAAAAGAAUUUGGUUUUAAAUAUUCCAGGAAAUUACAAUCUAAUUGCAUCAGUUCCCAACUGUGUCUCAGUUUCUAGCCUGGAAAAUGGGGUUGUAUUACAAUUAACUCUCUCUGACUUGUGAUCAGGGUUCCUAUUUUUUUUUAGNNNNNNNNNNGGUUCAAACGAUUCUCCUGCCUCAGCCUCCCAAGUAACUGGGAUUACAGGCGCCUGCCACCACGCCCAGCUAAUUUUUGUAGUUUUAGUAAGACGGGGUUUCACCAUGUUGGCCAGGCUGGUCUCAAACUCCUGACCUCAGGUGAUCUGCCCACCUCGGCCUCCCAAAGUGCUGGGAUUACAGGCGUGAGCCACUGCGCCCGGACUCUGUUUGGUUUUAAAAGCUCUCUAGGGUUCCCUCUGCCCAGACAGACAAAUUAGGGAGUGACAUAACCUGCAGCACAGUUGUCAAAGGGGCCCUUAAUUAUUCACCCAUCCCAGAGGCAUCGUUUGAAGAAAGUGCCUUCUUUAAGGGCAUUGGCUGCCUAGAUGUGUUCAAAUAUAAAUGUGUGUGUGUAUACUUACAUUUUUAAUAGACUUUUAUUUUGGAAUAAUUGUAGAUUUACAGAAAAGCUGCAAAGAAUAGUACAGAGAGUUCCCUCAAAUUCUUCGCCCAGUUUCCUCUAACAUUUGCAUCUUACACAGCCAUGGCACACUUGUCAAAACUAAGAAAUUAACACUGGUAUUACUUUUAACUAAAGGCUUUUUUGGAUUUUACCAGUUUUUUCACUCAUGCCUUGUUUUGUUCCAAAAUCCAACCCAGGAUAUCACACUGCAUUUAAUCAAAUGUAAAUACGUAUGCUUUAACUUUAUUUUAAAAUAAUCAUAGAUUUACAGGAAAUUGCAACAACAACAACAAAAGUACAGAGAUUCUGUGUACCCUUCCCCCAGUUUCGUUCAGUGGUAACUCCUUGUAUAACUACACAAUAUCAAAACCAUGAAAUAGAUAUUGGCACAAUCCAUAGACAGUAUUAAAUAUACAUGCAUAUAUAUAUAUUUUUUUUAAGUGAAAAAUAUUUUUAAACCUCGCUUUGCCUCACAGCCAAGAAGAUCAAAUACUUUCUCCAAAAACAUAGAAUUUGUAUCUAACUCCACUCGCUUCCAAACUCAAGUCCAACCAUGAAAUUAUUGAUCCCUCUCUCUAACCCUCCAACUACAGGCAAGAAUCUGCCCAUACAUUCCCCAAAGCAGGAGUGCACUCUGCCACAGGCCUAGAUGCCGUCAACCUCCUGGACCUUGAACUCCCUAAAUUAAUGGCCUCUGUGUGAGUAUGUGUAAGCAGCCCCUCUCUGUCCCAGUCCAUCCUAAAAUCACUCCCUUGGAGCCACCACUGCCCCUCUCAUCUUCUAGAAUUUCUAGAAAGAUAAAGAGCUAGUUAAGCAUCUAAGUACCUUUCUUCUGCUGUUAGCUCUAAAGACAACUGAAUAGAUCCUAGCUAGGAUGUACUCUAAGGAAUGCAGAAGUAGGCCGAGUGCAGUGGCUCAUUCCUGUAAUCCCAGUGCUUUGGGAGGC